GGUUAAGCGACUAAGCGUACACGGUGGAUGCCCUGGCAGUCAGAGGCGAUGAAGGACGUGCUAAUCUGCGAUAAGCGCCGGUAAGGUGAUAUGAACCGUUAUAACCGGCGAUUUCCGAAUGGGGAAACCCAGUGUGACUCGUCACACUAUCAUUAACUGAAUCCAUAGGUUAAUGAGGCGAACCGGGGGAACUGAAACAUCUAAGUACCCCGAGGAAAAGAAAUCAACCGAGAUUCCCCCAGUAGCGGCGAGCGAACGGGGAKGAGCCCAGAGCCUGAAUCAGCAUGUGUG
rnacentral:rRNA from 1 species